rnacentral:lncRNA from 1 species
GAGCUCUUCAACCCUUACCUCUUAAUAACAGCCAGAUCAGUACCGUUGAUUCUGUAAAAUUUCUUGGUAUGUUUUUUAGACAGCAACCUUCAAUGGUCCCUUCAUAUCGAUUUGUUAAGGAAGAAACUGUCUUCACCUUGCUAUGCUAUAAUAUCUGUUUCGAAGGAAUUCAAUUUAGCAUCUUCCAAAAUAACAUAUUUUUAUUUGUUCGGGUCGCAUCUUCGAUAUGGUCUUCCUUUUUGGGGUUCUGGUACAGCUGCUCAAUCCGAUGUUAUUUUCAAAUAACAAAAAAGAGCAAUAAGAUAUCUGUUUGGCCUCGGAAGAAUACCACAUUGCACAAGCUACUUCAAAGAUCACAGGAUUUUAACACUUCCUUCUUUAUACAUUUUAGAAACUGUUUGCUUAAUUCGUAAACAUCUACAUAUCUUUCCAGCAAGACCUAAUCAUGACUAUUCCACCAGAAAUUCUACCUUUGACGUCUAUUUACCCAGUGGCCUACCGAUAGAUCAGCAGGCCCUUGUUACAGUUGGGAUGCGGGCCCACCCGCUCAAUAAAUACUCACAUUGUAUAACACGAGUAUCGAGCAUCUAGCCUAUUGUAUUGGGAAUAUUUUUAUGACCCACCGUAUAAAACUUACAUUGAAUAUCUCAGUUUCCGAAUUUCUGCAACUUUGUAAUUUACCUACAACUUAUUAAUGGAUCGUGCUAAUAUAAAAUAAAAUAAAAGUGUUUGAGUUAACACCUGUAGGCAGGCACCGGCGGUUAGUCCUUAAACAAGGACUUCGGCAAGCAGGUAAAACGAGCAAGGAACCUUACAAAAGCGUUCCCUGUGUUUCUUAAUAAAUUUUGAUUUCAAAUUUUUUGAUGAAUAGUUAUUCUUCGUUUUUAUUAAUAAGUACAUACACAAAAAUUAAAAUUUAUUAAGCAGUUACAUUUCGUAGUGUGUACUUGUGUAGUUCAAAAUGUCCCCAUCAAAUUAGAAACAAAAAAAGGAAAAACCGCUUUAGAGCGGGCCCCUGCGAGGUCCGGGCCCUGGUUCCGCGGAACCAUGCUCAGUACGCCACUGUAUUUACCGAUCCCGUCCUCUGAGUUAGUAAAGGAAUGUACAUUAUAUUCCACAAAAAAACUGUACAACCAUCUCCCUCUACAACUUUAAUCUGCAGCAGCUUUCCCCAAA